CCUACGGGGGGCAGCAGUGAGGAAUAUUUGUCAAUGGGCGAGAGCCUGAACCAGCCAAGUCGCGUGAGGGAGUACUGCCCUAUGGGUUGUAAACCUCUUUUGUCGGGGAGCAAAAGCCGGACGUGUCCGGCUGUGAGAGUACCCGAAGAAAAAGCAUCGGCUAACUCCGGGCCAGCAGCCGCGGUAAUACGGAGGAUGCGAGCGUUAUCCGGAUUUAUGGGGUUUAAAGGGUGCGCAGGCGGAUUUUUAAGUCAGCGGUCAACUCGUGGGGUUCAACCCCAUCCAGCCGGUGAAACUGGGGGUCGAGAGUGUGAGAGAGGUAUGCGGAAUGCGUGGUGUAGCGGGGAAAUGCAUAGAUAUCACGAAGAACCGCGAUUGCGAAGGCAGCAUACCGGUGCACAACUGACGCGCAGGCACGAAAGCGUGGGUAUCGAACAGGAUUAGAUACCACUGUAGUC
rnacentral:rRNA from 1 species